GACGAACGCUGGCGGCGUGCUUAACACAUGCAAGUCGAACGAAGUGGCGAACGGGUGAGUAAUACGUGGGUAACCUGCCCUCAUUUUUGGGAUAAGCCUUGGAAACGGGGUCUACUACCGAAUAAAGGGGGAUGGGCUGGAGGCCUAUCAGCUUGUUGGUGGGGUGAUGGACUACCAAGGCGGUGACGGGUAGCCGGCCUGAGAGGGGUGCCGGGCACAUGAGGACUGGGAUACGGCCCAGAGGCCUACGGGAGGGGGCAGUGGGGGAUAUUGCGCAAUGGGCGAAAGCCGGAUGCAGCGACGCCUCGUGGGGGAUGAAGGCGUUCGGGUUGUAAACCGCUUACGCUAUCAAACGGGUAGGUGGAGAAAAAGCGCCGGCUAACUACGUGCCAGCAACCGCGGUAAUUC
rnacentral:rRNA from 1 species